GCAAUCUUAAGUUAUUUUAGUGUCUUCUUUAUAACGGUAAUCAAACCGGGUUACAUUUGCUGGACUUAAACAAGGAUUUUUUUUAAGAGAGAUAUAUAAUACAACAAAAAUUCCUAUUUCGUCUUUGUAUAUGUGUAUGUUUGUAAAACCAUUUAUAUGCCUGCUACUCUUACAUGAAAAGUUCAUAUUUCUUACU